UACGGGGGGGGCAAGCGUUGUUCGGAAUUACUGGGCGUAAAGGGCUCGUAGGCGGCCAACUAAGUCAGACGUGAAAUCCCUCGGCUUAACCGGGGAACUGCGUCUGAUACUGGAUGGCUAGAGGUUGGGAGAGGGAUGCGGAAUUCCAGGUGUAGCGGUGAAAUACGUAGAUAUCAGGAAGAACACCAAUGGCGAAGGCAGCUCUCUGGGACGGUACUGACGCUGAGACGCGAAAGCGUGGGGAGCGAACAGG
rnacentral:rRNA from 1 species